CGUCCCUCUCCCGCUUUCUCCUCGGGCCCCGGCUCCGAGCGUAGAGGGUGCCGGAGCGCCCACUCCCUGCCCCCUCUGAGCUCCGGUCCUGGGGGGGUUCCUCCCCGGGGAGCAGCCCCGUGCGCCCCGUCCGAGCGGCCCGGCCCCUCCUCCCAGCUUCGGAGAGCCAAAGCCAAUUAUAAGGGCUGUGAUUACAGCGAUAUAUCUCCGCCCGGUGCGCUGCCCACGCCGUGCCCGCCGCUCGGGCUCCGCCCGCUCCGUCGCUCCCCAGCUGCGUUCAAAGCCUUCCCAUGCCGACCAAUGGGCGCGGAUUAUUAACACAUUAUUAAAAACUCCGUUCGGAGCACCUUAAUGAGACCCGCACUUAUUAGUGAUGGGAACGAAUUUCACAGCACUGAAGUGAUCAGUUAAGCCGCGUCUAUAGUUUCCAGGCUACGCAAAAGAGGCUUUUGCCUAAUUGAAUUCAACUUCUCUCGGCAUGCAGAGGCCGAACUCUCUGUCCUCCAGUGCGAGGUGCCCAUCUGAGUCGGUUCUGUCCGGGAAAACGCGUCGGCAAGGAAACCUCACCCCGAGGUGGGAGCGCUGUGUGCGGGGUGCUGCGGUGCUCCGAGCGGGGCAGAGCCCCGACCCCGUGCACUCCGCGCCAGGUGCUGGGAGCCCUUUGUCGCACUCCGCUCUCGCAGCCCACUGAGCGAGAAGGAAAACGAAGCUCAUGCUUCCCCACAUCUCCUCUCUUUACUGUCCCUGACAAAACUGCCGCGCUCAGCCCGUGUUCGGAAGCCCCCGCGCAGCAGCGAUCAGGCAGAGGACGCAGCGCAUCCUCCAGACAACCGAGGAAGGGACUGAAAAACUUCAGAGCAGAGAAACAGAAACAAAUACAUUUUCCGGCGCAGAUUUAUUAUGGCUCCGGUCUGUUUCGCUGAGCGUGACUCAACCAGAAGGGAACAUCGGCUCGGUUUGACGGCGAGCGAGUCUUAAAAAUCACGGAUCGAAUCCAAGUUCCAGCAGCGAUUUCAGAAGGGCUCGGAGAGGCGGUGCGGAGCCGCACAGGGGCCGGGGCCGAGCCGUGGCCCAGGGAACAGCCCGGGCCCGGGGGCACCCCCAGGCCCGACCCCUGCGGGAUCCCCCGCCCCGCUGCUCGGAACUCGUUCUCCCGGGCCGGGUGUGCUCAGGGCCCAGAGCGGCCCUCCCUCGUCGUAUUUCAUUUUAGACACCGGGAAGCCGCGAUUUGUUGUCGAACUAAAUAGAACGUAUCACCUCCAGUUAAACGCGUUAAUUAUAUUACGCCGCCGAUUCGGCUUUGUUUUUCAUCAUUUAAAAAAAUCCGAACAAAUCAAUUACAUUAGCCAUAUGGCUUGAUCAUAUCAGCUAAUUUCCUUCUUUUUUUUUCUUUUUUCUUUUUUUUUCCCCUUAAAUUACUUUUUUGGGAAGUAAUUGUUGUUCAAACACUGACAACUUAUUAGUUAAGGUGUUUAGGGAAGCUCUCUCCGCUCCUGUCUUAGCUAAAAGAUGAUUGAAAUGACAAUGAAUACUCAAAGCAAAGCCAUUAAAUCAUCCCUUCCCGUGAUUUUCACUUUCUAUGUGUUAAAAGAGUUCACAACAACAGGGGCUGAUUUAUACUUCUGGAAUGGAGGCCGAGAGACCAUCAGGCUUCAAUUCAAUCCAUUCCAGUUUGUAAUGAUUUGCCUAAAACGAGCCAGGUUUUGGUAUGCAGCAGGUAAGUAGUCAUUUUUCUUAGUUAUUUUAAAGGUGUGUAGCGUUGAGAAUGUACAAGUGGCUCCACUCCGGCAUUUACACACUGCAAAUAUAAAACUUCACCCCUCAGUGAUCUUAAUACUUCGUCCAUUAAAUGUACUUACUCAUUUAAAUGGCAGUGUAUUUAACUGCUAAACAGAUGGUCUACAGUGCGCACAAUUAUAAAGCAAGGGUUUGUGUAUGUUGCCGUGUUUUAGACUCCAGAUUUCCUGCUUCCCUAUACAUUUUUCAAAGCAGUUUGUUUUUCCAUGCGGAAUGCUAACACAGGUGGAGAGGCAGUCUGGAACUCAUUUCUUCUGCUCUCAGACACCUCAGCACGCUCCUUCAGGCAACCUUCUUCAUUUUCUGACAAGGAUUUUAACCAGUUCCGCACUUCAGGUACUUCAAGCCUUUCAAAACCCGGUCUGAAAUAUUCCGGAUCGCGCCCAUUUUUGAAGUGUUUUAUAGACAUUUCUGGUUGCGUUUACUUUGUCAAGUAAAUAAUGACAAAAUAUCUUGGCCCCACAUCGACACGUCCUGCCAGUGCAGGGCUCAGCCCGCGUCUUUCC
rnacentral:lncRNA from 1 species